rnacentral:rRNA from 1 species
AAAGAGUAAGAAAUUUUAGUAAGUUUACCUUUUGUAUCAGGGGAAAUCAAAAGUAAGAGUAGGAAGAUAUCGAUUUAAGCAGAGCUUUGGGUAGUAUAGCUGUAGUUAAAUUUAUAGUUUUAAUAAGUCAUGUGGUGAAAAAUGCACGGUGCUUAUGGUAGCUAUUUGUUUUUUUGUUGAGGGGUAAGUUCUCAUUAGUUUAAUCAUAUAAAAAGGAUAGGGAGUUAGGCUUUGUAUUAGCCAAAUUAUUAAAUUGUUUUAAAUAACCCAGGGAGAAGUAUAAACUUUAAAGUUAAAAGACUUGGUCUGUCAGUAAUAACAGGUAUAAAUAAUGAAUUUAUUGAAUAAAGAAUGGAGUAGAAAAAUAACUCAUGGCGGGGUAGAAUGUUUAGCAAAAACAUUUUCUUUUGAGGUAGAUAAGAUAAGACCUGCCCGGUGAUUUUUAACGGCUGCGGUAUUUUGACUGUGCUAAGGUAGCAUAAUCAUUUGUUACUUAAUUGAUAACUAGAAUGAAAGGUUAAACUAACCUGCUUAGUUUGUCGUAUUUCUUAAGAAGUUAAAGUCAAGGUAAGAAUUCUUUGAUUUACUAGGGGACGAUAAGACCCUAGAAGCUUGAUAAUAAGAAUAUUUGUUAGUCAUAGAGAUUAAUUUGUUUUACUGGGGCGGUAAAGGUAUAUAAACUAUUAAGUUAUUGUGGGAUCCUUAAAAUAAAGACAAAACGGAAAAGUUACUCUAGGGAUAACAGUGCAAUAUUUUUGGAGAGAUCUUAUCGAUAAAAAUGUUUGCAACCUCGAUGUUGAAUUAAAAUGUCUACGUGAAGCAGCAGGUACGUAAGAAGGUUUGUUCAACCUUUAAAU